ACACCAAUGGUGAAGCGGUUAUCAUGCUUGCCUUCCAUGCUUACGUAAUCAUUUCUGAUUGUGUAAUCUUGAGAGCAAGCGGCAGGGGUUCGACUCCCCUUUGGUGUA